rnacentral:sRNA from 12 species
CCUUUGGAGUAUCAAGACCACACGAGUAGGUUUAAUCCAAAAGUGGAUACGCUGAAUAAGGAA